GGGGGUGCACCGGUUUCGACUGGUACGAUUCGGGGUGCAGGUUGCAGGUGGAGCGCUCAUCUCCUGAUUGGGCAACAAUUUAACUGCCGACAACGACAGUUACGCUUACGCCUUAGCUGCGUAAGCGCGUGGAACCGUUCCGCCGCUCUGAGGGACGGCUUCCGCGUCGCAAUCAGGGCUGGCUGUGCUGCCGCUUCCGGUGACAGUGCGGUAAGAUUUUCCGGGAUACGGACCGGCCGCGCGCCGUUUGGCCAAGCCGGUUCCCGACAAUGCAAUAAACGGCUAAACCUGUAGAAGCCUGUAUUUCGCGUAUCAGGACGCGGGUUCGACUCCCGCCACCUCCAAUA
rnacentral:tmRNA from 1 species